rnacentral:rRNA from 1 species
UACGGAAGGCAGCAGUGGGGAAUAUUGCACAAUGGGCGAAAGCCUGAUGCAGCUAUGCCGCGUGUAUGAAGAAGGCCUUAGGGUUGUAAGGUACUUUCAUCGGGGAGGAAAAAACAAAACUAAUAAUUUUAUUUCUUGACGUUACCCGAAAAAGAAGCACCGGCUAACUCCGUGCCAGCAGCCGCGGUAAUACGGAGGGUGCUAGCGUUAAUCAGAAUUACUGGGCGUAAAGAGCACGUAGGUGGUUUUUUUAAAGUCAGAUGUGAAAUCCCUGGGCUUAACCUAGGAACUGCAUUUUGAAACUGAAAUACUAGAGUAUCGUAGAGGGAGGUAGAAUUCUAGGUGUAGCGGUGAAAUGCGUAGAUAUCUGGAGGAAUACCUGUGGCGAAAGCGGCCUCCUAAACGAAUACUGACACUGAGGUGCGAAAGCGUGGGGAGCAAACAGGGAUUAGAUACCCGU